rnacentral:rRNA from 1 species
UACGGGGGGAGCAAGCGUUGUUCGGAUUUACUGGGCGUAAAGGGCGCGUAGGCGGCGCAACAAGUCACUUGUGAAAUCUCCGGGCUUAACCCGGAGCGGUCAAGUGAUACUGUCGUGCUAGAGUGCGGAAGGGGCUACUGGAAUUCUCGGUGUAGCGGUGAAAUGCGUAGAUAUCGAGAGGAACACCUGCGGCGAAGGCGGGUAGCUGGGCCGACACUGACGCUGAUGCGCGAAAGCCAGGGGAGCGAACGGGG